rnacentral:rRNA from 1 species
GACGAACGCUGGAGGCGUGCUUAACACAUGCAAGUCGAACGAUGAAAUGGAGCUUGCUCCAUGGAUUAGUGGCGAACGGGUGAGUAACACGUGAAUAACCUGCCCUUAAUUUUGGAAUAACCCAGGGAAACCUGGGCUAAUACCGGAUAAGUAAACCUGUGGCAUCACAUGGUUUUGGAAAGUUUUUCGAUUAAGGAUGGAUUCGCGGCCUAUCAGCUUGUUGGUGAGGUAAUGGCUCACCAAGGCGACGACGGGUAGCCGGCCUGAGAGGGUGAACGGCCACACUGGGACUGAGACACGGCCCAGACUCCUACGGGAGGCAGCAGUGGGGAAGAUUGCGCAAUGGACGAAAGUCUGACGCAGCGACGCCUCGUGAGGGACGAAGGUCUUCGGAUUGUAAACCUCUUUCAGCAGGGACGAAGCGAAAGUGACGGUACCUGAAGAAUAAGCACCGGCUAACUACGUGCCAGCCGCCGCCGUAA